rnacentral:lncRNA from 1 species
UUGUUUGUUUUCUUUUCUUUUGGACUUACUGUGUGUACAGAGUGAUGAGAAACGGUUGGACGAUCCCGGGAUCAAUGGUAGUGGAUGAAUGACACCCCUCAAACUUAGGCUGAUAAGGCACCCCGGAAGUUGAUCAUUACGCCAAAUAAGGGAAAAGAGGGCGCUUUUUUUGGCCUAUAACAGCGCUUUAAAGCGCCCUCUAAUCUGGCGCUGGCAUAUGUAAAGACAGCGCUUUUUUUCCUAGUGAAAGCGCUGUCUAAAGUGGCUCUUUA